rnacentral:rRNA from 1 species
CAGCCGCCGCGGGAAUACGUAGGUCCCGAGCGUUGUCCGGAUUUAUUGGGCGUAAAGCGAGCGCAGGCGGUCAGAAAAGUCUGAAGUGAAAGGCAGUGGCUCAACCAUUGUAGGCUUUGGAAACUGUUUAACUUGAGUGCAGAAGGGGAGAGUGGAAUUCCAUGUGUAGCGGUGAAAUGCGUAGAUAUAUGGAGGAACACCGGUGGCGAAAGCGGCUCUCUGGUCUGUAACUGACGCUGAGGCUCGAAAGCGUGGGGAGCAAACAGGAUUAGAUACCCCCGUAGUCCCUGUCUCUUAUACA